CGUCGCCACGGGAAUACGGAGGGAGCUAGCGUUGUUCGGAAUUACUGGGCGUAAAGCGCACGUAGGCGGUUAUUCAAGUCAGAGGUGAAAGCCCGGGGCUCAACCCCGGAACUGCCUUUGAAACUAGAUGACUGGAAUCUUGGAGAGGUCAGUGGAAUUCCGAGUGUAGAGGUGAAAUUCGUAGAUAUUCGGAAGAACACCAGUGGCGAAGGCGACUGACUGGACAAGUAUUGACGCUGAGGUGCGAAAGCGUGGGGAGCAAACAGGAUUAGAUACCCGCGUAGUCCCUGUCUCUUAUACA
rnacentral:rRNA from 1 species